UAAGGAGGAUGCGAGCGUUAUCCGGAUUUAUUGGGUUUAAAGGGUGCGUAGGCGGAAUAUCAAGUCAGCGGUAAAAAUUCGGGGCUCAACCCCGUCGUGCCGUUGAAACUGGCAGUCUCGAGUUGGAGAGAAGUAUGCGGAAUGCGCGGUGUAGCGGUGAAAUGCUUAGAUAUUGCGCAGAACUCCGAUUGCGAAGGCAGCAUACCGGCGGCGAUCUGACGCUGAGGCACGAAAGCGUGGGUAUCGAACAGG
rnacentral:rRNA from 1 species